CAUUGUCUUGUGAAAUUCCUUCUCCUGGCUCAUCCUGGCUCAAAAGCUCCCCUGCUGAGCACCUUGUGACCCCCACUCCAGCCCGCCAGAGAACAACCCCCUUUGACAGUAAUUUUCCUUUAUCCACCCAAAUCCUAUAAAAUGGCGCCACCCCUAUCUCCUUUCACUGACUCUCUUUUCGGACUCAGCCCGCCUGCACCCAGGUGAAAUAAACAGCCAUGUUGCUCACACAAAGCCUGUUUGGUGGUCUCUUCACACAGACGUGCAUGAAAUUUGGUGCAGUGACUCGGAUCAGGGGACCUCCCUUGGGAGAUCAAUCCCCUGUCCUCCUGCUCUUUGCUCGGUGAGAAAGAUCCACCUACGACCUCAGGCCCCCAGACUGACCAGCCCAAGAAACAUCUCACCAAUUUCAAAUCCGACGCAUCUGACCUCUCCCCUCCUCCCCGGGCUGCUCCUCGCCAGGCUGAGCUAGGUCCCAAUUCUUCCUCAGCCUCUGCUACUCCACCCUAUAAUCUUUUUAUCGCCUCCCCUCCUCACACCUGGUCCGGCUUACAGUUUCGUUCCAUGACUAGCCCUCCCACACCUGCCCAGCAAUUUACUCUUAAAAAGGUGGCUGGAGCUAAAGGCAUAGUCAAGGUUAACACUCCUUUUUCUUUAUCCCAAAUCAGAUAGCGUUUAGGCUCUUUUUCAUCAAAUAUAAAAAUCCAGCCCAGUUCAUGACUCAUUUGGCAGCAACACUGAGACACUUUACAGCCCUAGACCCUAAAAGGUCAAAAGGCCGUCUUAUUCUCAAAAUACAUUUUAUUACCAAUCUGCUCCCUACAUUAAAUAAAACUACAAAAAUUAAAUUCCGGCCCUCAAACCCCACAACAGGAUUUAAUUAACCUCGCCUUCAAGGUGUACAAUAAUAGAAAAAAGUUGCAAUUCCUUGCCUCCACUGUGAGACAAACCCCAGCCACAUCUCCAGCACAUAAGAACUUCCAAAUGCCUGAACCGCAGGGGCCAGGCGUUCCUCCAGAACCUCCUCCCCCAGAAGCUUGCUACAAGUGCCAGAAAUCUGACCACCAGGCCAAGGAAUGCCUGCAGCCCAGGAUUCCCCCAUCUGUGCGGGACCCCACUGGAAAUCGGACUGUUCAACUCACCUGGCAGCCACUCUCAGAGCCCCUGGAACUCUGGCCCAAGCCUCUCUCACUGACUCCUUCUCAGCUUAGCGGCUGAAGACUGACGCUGCCCGAUCGCCUCGGAAGCCCCGUAGACCAUCACGAACGCCGAGCUUCAGGUACACAUCCAGAUGGCUGGUUCCUGCCUUAACUGAUGACAUUC